rnacentral:rRNA from 1 species
AUUGAACGCUGGCGGCAGGCCUAACACAUGCAAGUCGAACGGUAACAGGAAGAAGCUUGCUUCUUUGCUGACGAGUGGCGGACGGGUGAGUAAUGUCUGGGAAACUGCCUGAUGGAGGGGGAUAACUACUGGAAACGGUAGCUAAUACCGCGUAACGUCGCAAGACCAAAGAGGGGGACCUUCGGGCCUCUUGCCAUCGGAUGUGCCCAGAUGGGAUUAGCUAGUAGGUGGGGUAACGGCUCACCUAGGCGACGAUCCCUAGCUGGUCUGAGAGGAUGACCAGCCACACUGGAACUGAGACACGGUCCAGACUCCUACGGGAGGCAGCAGUGGGGAAUAUUGCACAAUGGGCGCAAGCCUGAUGCAGCCAUGCCGCGUGUAUGAAGAAGGCCUUCGGGUUGUAAAGUACUUUCAGCGGGGAGGAAGGGAGUAAAGUUAAUACCCUUGCUCAUUGACGUUACCCGCAGAAGAAGCACCGGCUAACUCCGUG